rnacentral:rRNA from 1 species
CCGCGUGAGGGAUGACGGCCUUCGGGUUGUAAACCUCUUUUAGCAGGGAAGAAGCGAAAGUGACGGUACCUGCAGAAAAAGCGCCGGCUAACUACGUGCCAGCAGCCGCGGUAAUACGUAGGGCGCAAGCGUUAUCCGGAAUUAUUGGGCGUAAAGAGCUCGUAGGCGGUUUGUCGCGUCUGCUGUGAAAUCCCGAGGCUCAACCUCGGGCCUGCAGUGGGUACGGGCAGACUAGAGUGCGGUAGGGGAGAUUGGAAUUCCUGGUGUAGCGGUGGAAUGCGCAGAUAUCAGGGAGGAAACACCCGAUGGCGAAGGCAGAUCUCUGGGCCGUAACUGACGCUGAGGAGCGAAAGGGUGGGGAGCAAACAGGCUUAGAUACCCUGGUAGUCCACCCCGUAAACGUUGGGAACUAGUUGUGGGGUCCAUUCCACGGAUUCCGUGACGCAGCUAACGCAUUAAGUUCCCCGCCUGGGGAGUACGGCCGCAAGGCUAAAACUCAAAGGAAUUGACGGGGACCCGCACAAGCGGCGGAGCAUGCGGAUUAAUUCGAUGCAACGCGAAGAACCUUACCAAGGCUUGACAUAUACGAGAACGGCCAGAA